GCCAUCCAACUGUGAAUGAACGGCAAACCUCCCGUUUCCCUGAAAAAGCAGAGGCCGCGGUCGGCCUUCGGUCUUCCUCUUCUCCGGUUCUCCCCGAAGCCCGUCUGCCUUUUCAGUUCGCGAUCGAGGAAAGAGUCUCGCGGGGGUCAAGGAGCUAGGGGUCGAGGAUCAUCGGAAGAGCAGCGGGGAGGAGGGGAAGAUGAUCGAGGUGGUGCUGAACGACCGCCUGGGGAAGAAGGUGCGGGUCAAGUGCAACGAGGACGACACCAUCGGCGACCUCAAGAAGCUGGUGGCGGCGCAGACGGGGACGCGCCCCGAGAAGAUCCGCAUCCAGAAGUGGUACAACAUCUACAAGGACCACAUCACCCUCAAGGACUACGAGAUCCACGACGGCAUGGGCCUCGAGCUCUACUACAACUAGCUGCCCUGACUCCACAUGUCCCUCUUAUCAGGUAAGAAUCCCUCCCCGGAUUCGGAGCUGUUCCUCUUCGUUCCUGCGC
rnacentral:lncRNA from 1 species